GACGAACGCUGGCGGCGUGCCUAACACAUGCAAGUCGAACGGAAAGGCCCUGCUUUUGUGGGGUGCUCGAGUGGCGAACGGGUGAGUAACACGUGAGUAACCCGUCCUUGACUUUGGGAUAACUUCAGGAAACUGGGGCUAAUACCGGAUAGGAGCUCCUGCUGCAUGGUGGGGGUUGGAAAGUUUCGGCGGUUGGGGAUGGACUCGCGGCUUAUCAGCUUGUUGGUGGGGUAGUGGCUUACCAAGGCUUUGACGGGUAGCCGGCCUGAGAGGGUGACCGGCCACGUUGCGACUGGGAUACGGCCCAGACUCGUACCGGAGGCAACGGUGGAGAGUAUUGCACAGUAGGCGGGGGCCUGGUGCGACAACGCCACGUGCGGGAUGACGGCCUUCGGGUUGUAAACCGCUUUCGCCUGUGACGAGGCGUGAGUGACGGUAAUGGGUAAAGAAGCACCGGCUAACUACGUG
rnacentral:rRNA from 1 species